UCGAUUCCCACAUAGCUAUACAAUAUGUCAAUCCUUAUGAUUAUGCAUACCUAGCAUCUAGUUUUUACACUGUUUUACACCAUCAAUUGCAUCUAAACUGAUAAAUUACUAACUAAUCAUACAUGAAUCACUUUGGUCUAACAUCACUCCUUGCUCCCCACGUUAUAGCCCAACUGAAUAUUAUAAUUAUAAUCUAUAUCAAUCUCACUCAAACAGCUUCUGCUAAAGAAAUCCCCGUCACACAUAUGGCCUUUAACUUAGUUACAAAUAUAUGAUCUGAAACCG
rnacentral:lncRNA from 1 species